UAAACGUAUAGAUAUUAAUACAACUUAAGUUUCAGUAAGCAUUAAAGAUGCAACUGUCAUUUCUAUCAUUGGUUCUUGCCACAAUCUUUGUCAUGGCGAUCAUAUACGCACCCGUGGAAGCAAAUGCCGUCGCCGAUGCUGAUCCAUUAUCGAGCGGUGGAUUAGCUGACGGGGACGUAGCUUAGAACGUAGUAGUUUAGAACGUAGGGGCAGAUGUAUUAGGCAUUUUGCAAAAGAAGUAGUUGCAUUUUUCGUGGAAUAAAGAUGAACAUUCGGAUAAAACUUACAACGAAAAAAUGGGAAAAUGAUUGCAAUAAAAAUGUGACUUUACAACGUAUAAUACGCAUGUAAAUAUUAUAAUUUAUAUUUUCAAACAAAAAAUUAUAUCUGUAUGUUUCUGUUAUAUUCGUUUGAUUUAUUAUAAUAUUGUAAACAACAAGCAUGCAUAAUUGGCAUAUUGUGUUUUAUUCAUAUAAGUUUAAUGACAUUGUAUUCUUAUUAUAAUUUGUGAUCUUCUACGUUGGAUUUGGGGAAUAAAAAUAGUAUUUAGACAACA